rnacentral:rRNA from 1 species
CAGCAGCCGCGGUAAUACGAAGGUCCCGAGCGUUGUUCGGAAUCACUGGGCGUAAAGGGAGCGUAGGCGGCGUGGUAAGUCAAAUGUGAAAUCCCGGGGCUCAACCCCGGAACUGCAUCCGAUACUGCCGUGCUAGAGGAUUGGAGAGGUAGCUGGAAUUCUUGGUGUAGCAGUGAAAUGCGUGGAGAUCAAGAGGAACACUCGUGGCGAAAGCGAGCUACUGGACGAUAUCUGACGCUGAGGCUCGAAGGCCAGGGUAGCGAAAGGGAUUAGAUACCCGCGUAGUCCCUGUCUCUUAUAA